rnacentral:misc_RNA from 1 species
GAUGAAGAACGCAGCAAAAUGCGAUAAGUAAUGUGAAUUGCAGAAUUCAGUGAAUCAUCGAAUCUUUGAACGCACAUUGCGCCCGCCAGUAUUCUGGCGGGCAUGCCUGUUCGAGCGCCAUUUCAACCCUCAAGCACAGCUUGGUGUUGGGACUCGCGUUAAUUCGCGUUCCUCAAAUUGAUUGGCGGUCACGUCGAGCUUCCAUAGCGUAGUAGUAAAACCCUCGUUACUGGUAAUCGUCGCGGCCACGCCGUUAAACCCCAACUUCUGAAUGUUGACCUCGGAUCAGGUAGGAAUACCCGCUGAACUUAAGCAUAUCAAUAAGCGGAGGA